rnacentral:rRNA from 1 species
GAAUCCGCUAAGGAGUGUGUAACAACUCACCUGCCGAAUGAAUUAGCCCUGAAAAUGGAUGACGCUGAAGCGUACAGCCGACACCGCGCCGUUUUGGCAAAAAGCGACCAAAAUGAGUAGGAGGGCGUGGCGGUCUUGUGAAAAAGGUCGAGACGCGAGUCUGACUGGAACGGCCGCUAGUGCAGAUCUUGGUGGUAGUAGCAAAUAUUCAAGCGAGACCCUUGAAGGGCGAAGCGGGGAAGGGUUCCACGCGAACAUUGAUUGGGCGUGGGUGAGUCGUUCCUAAGCCGGGUGGUAAUCGUUCUUCGAAGCGGCGAAAGGGAAGCGGGUUAAAAUUCCUGCACACGGAUGUGGAGGCGGCAACGCAAAUUGAGUUGGAGACAUCAGCGGUAGCGCUAGGCAGAGUUUUCUUUUCUGUUUGACCUGUGAGUUGCACUGUGUGGAAUCCGAUUAUCGGGAGAAACACGCGCCGAAGGGCAGAGCGUCGGGGCGUCCCCGGCGUCUAGCACGCUACCGAGGGUCCCUGAAAAUCCAACUGCAACAUAAUUUCACGCCGUGGCGUACCGAUAACCGCAUCAGGUCCCCAAGGUGAACAGCCUCUGCUCAAUAUGAACAAUGCAGGUAAGGGAAGUCGGCA